rnacentral:rRNA from 1 species
AGUGAACGCUGGCGGUAGGCCUAACACAUGCAAGUCGAACGGCAGCACAGUAAGAGCUUGCUCUUACGGGUGGCGAGUGGCGGACGGGUGAGGAAUACAUCGGAAUCUACUUUUUCGUGGGGGAUAACGUAGGGAAACUUACGCUAAUACCGCAUACGACCUACGGGUGAAAGCAGGGGAUCUUCGGACCUUGCGCGAUUGAAUGAGCCGAUGUCGGAUUAGCCAGUUGGCGGGGUAAAGGCCCACCAAGGCGACGAUCCGUAGCUGGUCUGAGAGGAUGAUCAGCCACACUGGAACUGAGACACGGUCCAGACUCCUACGGGAGGCAGCAGUGGGGAAUAUUGGACAAUGGGCGCAAGCCUGAUCCAGCCAUACCGCGUGGGUGAAGAAGGCCUUCGGGUUGUAAAGCCCUUUUGUUGGGAAAGAAAAGCAGAAGGUUAAUACCCCGCUGUUCUGACGGUACCCAAAGAAUAAGCACCGGCUAACUUCGUG